ensembl:lncRNA
GAACAGUUGAAACUGGAGCAGCAGCACAACCAGGUGGACUGGGGACAGCAAGGAGUCAUCAGGCCAGGUAGUCCUGAGGCAUGGUCCUAGGGCUCAGGUCCUCAAAGAGAAGAGAAAGAGAGAGAGACAGAGAAAGAGAAAGAGAGAAAGCGAGAAAGAGAGAGAAUUAGAGAAUUAGAGGGAGCAUACUUAAAUUCUCUCAAGACACCGGUUGAGACAGGAGAAAUACACCAAACAUAACAGACUGACCCUAGCCACCCAACACAUAAACUACUGCAGCAUAAAUAGUGGAGGCUGAGACAGGAGGCGUCAGGAGACACUGUGGCCCCAUCCAAUGAUAUCCCCGGACAGGGCCAACAAGGCAUGAUAUAACGCCGCCUACUUUGCCAAAGCACAGCCCCCACACCACCAGAGGGAUAUUUUCAACCACCAACUUACUACCCUGAGACAAGGCCGAGUAUAGCCCACGAAGAUCUCCCCCAUGCCACUCACCCGAGGGGGGUGCCAACCCGGACAGGAAGAUCAUGUCAAAAACUCAACCCACUCAAGUGACGCACCCCUCCUAGGGACGGCAUGGAAGAGCACCUGUAGGUAUGUAUGGGUAGGUAGGACCAAAGUCAAGGUUCUCGUCAAGAUCCAAGCAGCCGUAUUUAGCACUUACUGAAUUGUAUUUAGUGCUUUUUCUGAGUAGCCAGAGAGUAGAGCAUUGCAGUUUUCUAACCUAGAAGUAACAAAAGCAUGGAUACAUUUUUCUGCAUCAUUUUUGGACAGAAAGUUUCAGAUUUUUUCAAUGUAAUGCCGAUGGAAAAAAGCUGUCCUUGCAACAAUCUUGAUAUGUUCGUCAAAAGAGAGAUCAGGGAGCCUCCCGGGUGGUACAGUGGUCUACGGCACUGCAUCGCAGCGCUAGCUGUGCCACCAGAGACUCUAGGUUUGUUCCCAGGGAGGUCCUUGGGGCGACGCACAAUUGGCCUAGCGUCGUCCAGGUUAGGGAGGGUUUGGCCGGUAAGGAUAUCUUUGUCUCAUCGCGCACCAGCGACUCCAGUGGCGGGCCGGGCGCAGUGCACGCUAACCAAGAUAGCCAGGUGCACAGUGUUUCCUCCGACACAUUGGUGCGGCUGGCUUCUGGGUUGGAGUUGCGCUGUGUUAAGAAGCAGUGAGGCUUGGGUGGGUUGUGUUUCGGAGGAUGCAUGGCUUUCGACCUUCGUCUCUCCAGAGCCCGUACGGGAGUUGUAGCGAUGAGACAAGAUAGUAAUUACUAACAACAAUUGGAUAGCACGAAAAAGGGGGUCAAAAAAAAAAAGAAAGAGAGAUCAGGAUCCAGAGUCCUUCAGUUUUAUUUGAGACGACUGUACCACCAUCAAGAUUAAUUUUCUGAUCCAACAGAAGAUCUCUUUGUUUCCUGGGACCUGGAACUAGCAUCUCUGUUUUAAAGUAAAAUAUUUGCCACCAUCCACUUCAUCAUGUCUGAAAUACAGGCUUCCCGGGAGGGCAAUAUUGGGGCUUCACAAUGUUUCAUUGAAAUGUACAGCUGUGUGUCAUCCGCAUAGCAGUGAAAGUUAACAUUAUGUUUCCGAAUGACAUCACCAAGAGGUAAAAUAUAUAGUGAAAACAAUAGAGGUCCUAAAACGGAACCUUGAGGAACACCGACAUUUACCGUUGAGUUUUCAGAGGACAAACCAUCCACAGAGAUAAACUGAUAUCUUUCCUACAGAUAAGAUCUAAACCAGUCCAGAACUUGUCCGUGUAGACCAAUUUGGAUUUCCGAAUCUCUCCAAAAGAAUGUGGUAAUCGAUGGUAUCAAAAGCAUCACUAAGGUCUAGGAGCACGAGGACAGAUGCAGAGCCUCGGUCUGACGCCAUUUAAAGGUCAUUUACCACCUUGAUGAGUGCAGUCUCAGUGCUAUGAUAUUAUACUAGGAAGCAGGUGUAGUUAGUCAGUUUAAUGAUAUCUGACAUGGAAUGAUACAAAACAAGAGAAGCGUCUGACAUGGAAACACAAACAAUACUACCUGAUGGACAGUGCUAGAAAAAUGCUAAGUAAUGAAUGUAGUAAUGUAGUUCAGGUGUGACUGAUGAUAGGGCCCAGAUGUGAGUAAUCAUGGUUGCCAGGUGUGACUGAUGAUAGGGCCCAGAUGUGAGUAAUCAUGGUUGCCAGGUGUGACUGAUGAUAGGGCCCAGAUGUGAGUAAUCAUGGUUGCCAGGUGUGACUGAUGAUAGGGCCCAGAUGUGAGUAAUCAUGGUUGCCAGGCGUGGGUAAUGAUGGUUGCCAGGUGUAAGUAAUCAUGGUUGCUAGGUGUGAGUAAUCAUGGUUGCUAGGUGUGUGUAAUGAUGGUUGCCAGGUGUGUGUAAUCAUGGUUGCUAGGUGUGUGUAAUGAUGGUUGCCAGGUGUGCUUAAAGAUUGCCUGCCAGGACUGGUGGUUAGUAGACCGGUGACAUCGUGCGCUGGAGCGGGAGAAUGGGAGUAGACGUAACAUUACCCCCCUCCCAACGAGCGGCUCCAGACGCAGGACGACACCGGCCGGGGGCACCGCCCCGAGAGAGAAGAGCGGGCCAGUCCGGAUGACAAAGAUGGAAAACUUGGGUGAUGUUGGGAACUAGAUUGUCAUCCACCGGAAACACAACACCGUUCCUCUGGACCUUACCCCUCCAGGUCCACCAGGUAUUGGAGCCAACCCCCAUCAGCCAGGGGACCACUGGGCCUGAGGAGGGAAACAUGGAAAGAUGGUGAGAUCCGGUAGAGAGUGAGGAGUUGUAAUCUGUA